rnacentral:rRNA from 1 species
AGUGAACGCUGGCGGUAGGCCUAACACAUGCAAGUCGAACGGCAGCACAGUAAGAGCUUGCUCUUACGGGUGGCGAGUGGCGGACGGGUGAGGAAUACAUCGGAAUCUACUUUUUCGUGGGGGAUAACGUAGGGAAACUUACGCUAAUACCGCAUACGACCUACGGGUGAAAGCAGGGGAUCUUCGGACCUUGUGCGAUUGAAUGAGCCGAUGUCGGAUUAGCUAGUUGGCGGGGUAACGGCCCACCAAGGCGACGAUCCGUAGCUGGUCUGAGAGAAUGAUCAGCCACACUGGAACUGAGACACGGUCCAGACUCCUACGGGAGGCAGCAGUGGGGAAUAUUGGACAAUGGGCGCAAGCCUGAUCCAGCCAUACCGCGUGGGUGAAGAAGGCCUUCGGGUUGUAAAGCCCUUUUGUUGGGAAAGAAAAGCAGCAGGUUAAUACCCCGCUGUUCUGACGGUACCCGAAGAAUAAGCACCGGCUAACUUCGUG